rnacentral:rRNA from 1 species
ACAGCAGUCGCCGCGGUAAUACGGAGGGUGCAAGCGUUAAUCGGAAUUACUGGGCGUAAAGCGCACGCAGGCGGUUUGUUAAGUCAGAUGUGAAAUCCCCGGGCUCAACCUGGGAACUGCAUUUGAAACUGGCAAGCUAGAGUCUCGUAGAGGGGGGUAGAAUUCCAGGUGUAGCGGUGAAAUGCGUAGAGAUCUGGAGGAAUACCGGUGGCGAAGGCGGCCCCCUGGACGAAGACUGACGCUCAGGUGCGAAAGCGUGGGGAGCAAACAGGAUUAGAUACCCGCGUAGUCCCUGUCUCUUAUAA